rnacentral:rRNA from 1 species
GAUGAACGCUGGCGGCGUGCCUAAUACAUGCAAGUCGAGCGAACAGAUGAGGAGCUUGCUCCUCUGACGUUAGCGGCGGACGGGUGAGUAACACGUGGAUAACCUACCUAUAAGACUGGGAUAACUUCGGGAAACCGGAGCUAAUACCGGAUAAUAUAUUGAACCGCAUGGUUCAAUAGUGAAAGACGGUUUUGCUGUCACUUAUAGAUGGAUCCGCGCCGCAUUAGCUAGUUGGUAAGGUAACGGCUUACCAAGGCAACGAUGCGUAGCCGACCUGAGAGGGUGAUCGGCCACACUGGAACUGAGACACGGUCCAGACCCCUACGGGAGGCAGCAGUAGGGAAUCUUCCGCAAUGGGCGAAAGCUUGACGGAGCAACGCCGCGUGAGUGAUGAAGGUCUUCGGAUCGUAAAACUCUGUUAUUAGGGAAGAACAAAUGUGUAAGUAACUAUGCACGUCUUGACGGUACCUAAUCAGAAAGCCACGGCUAACUACGUG